CACAUGCAAGUCGAACGAGAGAGAAGGAGCUUGCUUCUUCGAUCGAGUGGCGAACGGGUGAGUAACGCGUGAGGAACCUGCCUCAAAGAGGGGGACAACAGUUGGAAACGACUGCUAAUACCGCAUAAGCCCACGGGUCGGCAUCGACCUGAGGGAAAAGGAGCAAUCCGCUUUGAGAUGGCCUCGCGUCCGAUUAGCUAGUUGGUGAGGUAAUGGCCCACCAAGGCGACGAUCGGUAGCCGGACUGAGAGGUUGAACGGCCACAUUGGGACUGAGACACGGCCCAGACUCCUACGGGAGGCAGCAGUGGGGAAUAUUGCACAAUGGGGGAAACCCUGAUGCAGCGACGCCGCGUGGAGGAAGAAGGUCUUCGGAUUGUAAACUCCUGUUGUUGAGGAAGAUAAUGACGGUACUCAACAAGGAAGUGACGGCUAACUACGUGCCAGCAGCCGCGGUAAAACGUAGGUCACAAGCGUUGUCCGGAAUUACUGGGUGUAAAGGGAACGCAGGCGGGAAGACAAGUUGGAAGUGAAAUCUAUGGGCUCAACCCAUAAACUGCUUUCAAAACUGUUUUUCUUGAGUAGUGCAGAGGUAGGCGGAAUUCCCGGUGUAGCGGUGGAAUGCGUAGAUAUCGGGAGGAACACCAGUGGCGAAGGCGGCCUACUGGGCACCAACUGACGCUGAGGCUCGAAAGUGUGGGUAGCAAACAGGAUUAGAUACCCUGGUAGUCCACACCGUAAACGAUGACUACUAGGUGUUGGAGGAUUGACCCCUUCAGUGCCGCAGUUAACACAAUAAGUAAUCCACCUGGGGAGUACGACCGCAAGGUUGAAACUCAAAGGAAUUGACGGGGGCCCGCACAAGCAGUGGAGUAUGUGGUUUAAUUCGACGCAACGCGAAGAACCUUACCAAGU
rnacentral:rRNA from 1 species